rnacentral:rRNA from 1 species
GAUGAACGCUGGCGGCGUGCCUAAUACAUGCAAGUCGAGCGAACGGACGAGAAGCUUGCUUCUCUGAUGUUAGCGGCGGACGGGUGAGUAACACGUGGAUAACCUACCUAUAAGACUGGGAUAACUUCGGGAAACCGGAGCUAAUACCGGAUAAUAUUUUGAACCGCAUGGUUCAAAAGUGAAAGACGGUCUUGCUGUCACUUAUAGAUGGAUCCGCGCUGCAUUAGCUAGUUGGUAAGGUAACGGCUUACCAAGGCAACGAUGCAUAGCCGACCUGAGAGGGUGAUCGGCCACCCUGGAACUGAGCCACGGUCCAGACUCCUACGGGAGGCAGCAGUAGGGAAUCUUCCGCAAUGGGCGAAAGCCUGACGGAGCAACGCCGCGUGAGUGAUGAAGGUCUUCGGAUCGUAAAACUCUGUUAUUAGGGAAGAACAUAUGUGUAAGUAACUGUGCACAUCUUGACGGUACCUAAUCAGAAAGCCACGGCUAACUACGUG